rnacentral:piRNA from 2 species
UCAGCAGUAGCUAAUGUGGGAUGAUGAU